rnacentral:rRNA from 1 species
GCUGUGGCACGGGUACGGGGUGUUAGGGCACGACAUCCGGAGAGGGAGCCUGAGAAACGGCUACCACAUCCAAGGAAGGCAGCAGGCGCGCAAAUUACCCAAUCCCGACACGGGGAGGUAGUGACAAUAAAUAACAAUACAGGGUUCUUUUGGAUCUUGUAAUUGGAAUGAGUACAAUUUAAAUCUCUUAACGAGGAACAAUUGGAGGGCAAGUCUGGUGCCAGCAGCCGCGGUAAUUCCAGCUCCAAUAGCGUAUAUAAAAGUUGUUGCAGUUAAAAAGCUCGUAUUUGAAUUUCGGGAUCAAUGUUUCGGUCAUGCCGUUGGUAUGUACUGAUAUUAUUGGUUUCUCACCUUCUAAAGAACCGUAAUGCCAUUAAUUUGGUGUCACGGGGAAUUAGGACUGUUACCUUGAAAAAAUUAGAGUGUUUAAAGCAGGCUCACGCUUGAAUACAUUAGCGUGGAAUAAUGAAAUAGGACAUCCGAUUCUAUUUUGUUGGUUUCUAGGAUCGAUGUAAUGAUUAAUAGGGAUAGUUGGGGGCAUUAGUAUUCAAUUGUCAGAGGUGAAAUUCUUGGAUUUAUUGAAGACUAACUACUGCGAAAGCAUUUGCCAAGGAUGUUUUCAUUAAUCAAGAACGAAAGUUAGGGGAUCGAAGACGAUCAGAUACCGUCGUAGUCUUAACCAUAAACUAUGCCGACUAGGGAUCGGAUGAUGUUAAUUUUUUAAUGACUCAUUCGGCGCCUUACGGGAACAUAAUGUUUUUGGGUAUCA